AUACGUAGGGGGCGAGCGUUGUCCGGAAUGAUUGGGCGUAAAGGGCGCGUAGGCGGCCCGGUAAGUCUGGAGUGAAAGUCCUGUUUUUAAGAUGGGAAUUGCUUUGGAUACUGUCGGGCUUGAGUGCAGGAGAGGUAAGUGGAAUUCCCAGUGUAGCGGUGAAAUGCGUAGAGAUUGGGAGGAACACCAGUGGCGAAGGCGACUUACUGGACUGUAACUGGCGCUGAGGCGCGAAAGUGUGGGGAGCAAACAGGAUUAGAUACCCUGGUAGUCCACACUGUAAACGAUGAAUGCUAGGUGUAGGGGGUAUCGACCCCUUCUGUGCCGCAGUCAACACAAUAAGCAUUCCGCCUGGGGAGUACGGCCGCAAGGUUGAAACUCAAAGGAAUUGACGGGG
rnacentral:rRNA from 1 species